CUGGCAUUUCUAGACAAAUCACGACAAUGCUAUUGGUGCCCAACAUAGUUUAACUCCUCCCUGCCCCUAAAACCCUUUGUAUUCCUUUUUAUCCCUACAUUCCACAAUGGAUUCUACUGUAGGCUAGGCCUCAAUUAUCAAAGAGAGGUUAAAUAAUUCAUUCACACAGUGCAAAAGCCAGGAUGUAGUUAUCCUGCCAAGCCAGCAUAAUUAAGCCUUAUGACUAGUCAUCUCGCUGAUGUCUACACCAUCCAUGUGUCUGUAUAUAAUCUCUACACAGUAAAACUAGUACUACGUAAUACGGAAAAGAUAAACUGCUACCCAACCCAGUUCAAUAUAAAAUAACUUUUAUUACAUUGGUUAAAAUGGGCCUAUCUAGGUUCCCACUAGC